UCGAGGAUCUUCGGCAAUGGGCGAAAGCCUGACCGAGCGACGCCGCGUGUGCGAUGAAGGCCUUCGGGUUGUAAAGCACUGUCGAGGGAGAGAAAAGGGUAACCUUGAUCGAUCUCUGGAGGAAGCACGGGCUAAGUUCGUGCCAGCAGCCGCGGUAAGACGAACCGUGCGAACGUUGUUCGGAAUCAUUGGGCUUAAAGGGCGCGUAGGCGGGCUGACAAGUCAGGGGUGAAAGCCCACGGCUCAACCGUGGAAGUGCCUUUGAUACUGCCAGUCUGGAGGGAGGUAGGGGCGUGCGGAACUUCCGGUGGAGCGGUGAAAUGCGUAGAUAUCGGAAGGAACACCGGUGGCGAAAGCGGCGCGCUGGACCUCUUCUGACGCUGAGGCGCGAAAGCCAGGGGAGCGAACGGGAUUAGAUACCCGCGUAGUCC
rnacentral:rRNA from 1 species